GGGAGCUUAACUGCAGUCGACGGGCUCUUCGGAGCUGGUGGCGGACGGGUGAGUAACGCGUGAGGAUCUGUCCUUAGGAGGGGGAUAACGUUGGGAAACUGAUGCUAAUACCCCAUAUGCCGAGAGGUGAAAGAGUGAAUUCUGACUGAGGGUGAGCUCGCGUCGGAUUAUCUAGUUGGUGCGGUAAUGGCGUACCAAGGCGACGAUCCGUAGCUGGUCUGAGAGGAUGAUCAGCCACACUGGGACUGAGACACGGCCCAGACUCCUACGGGAGGCAGCAGUGGGGAAUUUUCCGCAAUGGGGGCAACCCUGACGGAGCAACGCCGCGUGCGGGAGGACGGCCCUAGGGUUGUAAACCGCUUUUCUCAGGGAAGAAGGACUGACGGUACCUGAGGAAUAAGCCUCGGCUAACUCCGUGCCAGCGCCCGCGGUAAGACGGAGGAGGCAAGCGUUAUCCGGAAUUAUUGGGCGUAAAGCGUCCGUAGGCGGCUAGUCAAGUCUGCUGUCAAAGUUCAGGGCUUAACCCUGAGUCGGCGGUGGAAACUGAGUAGCUAGAGAGCGGCAGGGGUAGAGGGAAUUCCCAGUGUAGCGGUGAAAUGCGUAGAUAUUGGGAAGAACACCAGUGGCGAAGGCGCUCUACUGGGCCGUUACUGACGCUGAGGGACAAAAGCUAGGGGAGCGAAAGGGAUUAGAUACCCCUGUAGUCCUAGCUGUAAACGAUGGAUACUAGGUGUUGGCCGUAUCGACCCGGUCAGUACCGAAGCAAACGCGUUAAGUAUCCCGCCUGGGGAGUACGCACGCAAGUGUGAAACUCAAGGAAUUGACGGGGGCCCGCACAAGCGGUGGAGUAUGUGGUUUAAUUCUAUGCAACGCGAAAAACCUUACCAGGCUUGACAUCCCGCGAACCCUUCUGAAAGGAGGGGUGUCUUCCGGAGCGCGGGACAGGUGGUGCAUGGCUGUCGUCAGCUCCUGUCGUGAGAAUGUUGGGUUAAGUCCCACACCAGCGCAACCCUCGUCCUUAGUUGCCAUCAUUUGAAUUGUUCUCUGGGAGACUGCCGGGAAAACUCGAAGAAAGGUGAGGAUGACGUCAUCAUCAUGCCCCUUACGUCUGGCUACACACGUACCUACAAUGCUUCGACGAAGGCGACGAGCCUGCAGGGUUAGACUGAUCAA
rnacentral:rRNA from 1 species